rnacentral:rRNA from 1 species
AUUGGGCGUAAGCGCGCGCAGGUGGUUUCUUAAGUCUGAUGUGAAAGCCCACGGCUCAACCGUGGAGGGUCAUUGGAAACUGGGAGACUUGAGUGCAGAAGAGGAAAGUGGAAUUCCAUGUGUAGCGGUGAAAUGCGUAGAGAUAUGGAGGAACACCAGUGGCGAAGGCGACUUUCUGGUCUGUAACUGACACUGAGGCGCGAAAGCGUGGGGAGCAAACAGGAUUAGAUACCCUGGUAGUCCACGCCGUAAACGAUGAGUGCUAAGUGUUAGAGGGUUUCCGCCCUUUAGUGCUGAAGUUAACGCAUUAAGCACUCCGCCUGGGGAGUACGGCCGCAAGGCUGAAACUCAAAGGAAUUGACGGGGGCCCGCACAAGCGGUGGAGCAUG